UGUGUGUGUGUGUGUGUGUGUGUGUGUGUGCGUGCGUGCACUAAUGGUAUCUCAUUAGCAUGAGUGACGCGUCCCCCUCCCCCUGUGGAGGUUCGUUUUGUUGCCCGGUGCUGAGCCGGCGCUCUCUAAAUAUAACCCUGUGUUUGUGUGGCGGUCAUGUUUGUGCGCUCACGUGCAUCCGACACAAACAGUUGCUCGCAUCAGAGGCUGGCUUGCGUUCUGGCGUUCUACCGGAUGGUCGUGUCGAGGUAUUGGAGCGAACCUUUGCCACAACCGGUUGUCCGGUCAUCGAAGGCUUAUUUGGGCUGAGAGUGACACACCGGAGUUGGCCCAUUUUGGAGCAUGAAUUGUUCAUAAUAAUUGGUUAUGUAUUUUUAUAUAUAUAUUAGAGGAUAGAUGUAUUGGUAUACCUCAUUUUUGCUGAGGUCGGCUAUAUCCAGGAAAUUCCAAAUCUCAUUGAAUGCAUAUUUUGGGUUGAGGAUGUGGCACUGAUGUAUAAAUACAGUUGCAUUAUAUUGCAAAAUUAAUGGACAACCUUGCCACCGAAAAGCAAAACUAUUAUAGGAGAGCCUAAACAUGUAGGGAAUCGAGCAAAACAUUGGUGAUGACCUGUUAUGUGAAAACCUUUACCUUUUACUCCUUUACCUCACUGUAGGCUUCACUGUGGUCGUAUUUAUUUUCAGUUGUCUUUCUUAAAAAUAGCAAGCUAAAGGAAACACUCCCGCAGUUUUACGUUUACAGUUCGUCACGAGUCCACAUUAAAAAAAGAGAAGCGAUUAGGCUCGUGAGCCCUGGCGGCGGAAGGCGGUCGGUUCAGGCUCGUGCGCCCUGGCGGCGGAAGGCGUUCGGUUCCGUGCCAGUUUGCGCUGUCAGGGAAUUCCGGGGACGUACGGUGACGUCAGAAGAGGCGUGCCUUUGUGUGUGUGCGGAGGCUCGGCCGUGUGUGUGUGUGUGUGUGUGUGUGCCUCUGUCCCUUUAAAAAAAACAGCUCGGCGCAAUAUGAUCCCUGCCGUCCUGGCUUCUGUGUGUGUGUGUGUGAGAGAAGGGAGCGAGCGAGCUAGAGCGAGAGAGAGGGACGGAGAGAAUAGACGGAACUAUAAGAAAGGAAACCCGAAGACUCGAAUAAACCAAACGGAAUAAUGAACUUAAACCCUCUUCAUGUCGCGAGUCGGCUUUGGAUUUUGAAGAAGACCUUACCGGAGUGACAUCUAAAACUUGGAAGUUGUGUGUGUGAGACGGGAUUAGUGGCUCUUAUUCCGCCGGUUGGUCGGGAAUCUAUCUGCAGACCGACGGGUUCAGUGGCGCUCGUCGGACACCAGGAAAGGAUCGUAUUUACGGCCAUACCUUUAACACAACGGUGUUUCUAUAGAUUGAUAUACCUUUGAUCGCUUUGAGGACGAACGGCGUAGCUCACUUCUUGCGUUUGACGGGUUGGAGAGACCCCAGGGAGAUGACUGACACCCGAAGCUGAGCCCCCGCACUGCUGUCAAUCAAAAACCUGCUGCUACUCCAAAAGGUCUUCAGGGUCCUUGGUGCUGUAGAAGUAGUGGGAGGCUACCGGCAGACUCUCUGGGCAUUAGUGUGAAGCCUCUUCUCUGCUGCAGUGGAGGGCUUCACGCAGACGGCUA